AUUGAACGCUGGCGGCAUGCCUUACACAUGCAAGUCGAACGGCAGCGCGGGAGCUUGCUCCUGGCGGCGAGUGGCGAACGGGUGAGUAAUACAUCGGAACGUGUCCGUUUGUGGGGGACAACCAGCCGAAAGGUUGGCUAAUACCGCAUAAGACCUGAGGGUGAAAGCCGGGGACCGCAAGGCCUGGCGCAGACGGAGCGGCCGAUGAUUGAUUAGCUUGUUGGCGGGGUAAAGGCCCACCAAGGCGAAGAUCAAUAGCUGGUCUGAGAGGACGACCAGCCACACUGGAACUGAGACACGGUCCAGACUCCUACGGGAGGCAGCAGUGGGGAAUUUUGGACAAUGGGGGCAACCCUGAUCCAGCCAUGCCGCGUGCGGGAAGAAGGCCUUCGGGUUGUAAACCGCUUUUGUCAGGGACGAAAAGGGACGGGUUAAGAGCUAGUUCCGCUGACGGUACCUGAAGAAUAAGCACCGGCUAACUACGUGCCAGCCGCCGCAGUAA
rnacentral:rRNA from 1 species